GCAAAUUUCCUUCUCUAUUUAGGCGUCUGUUAAAGAAAAUCAACACUGGCAAUGGAAUACGAUUCGUAAAAACUAAACUGAGUUCUCAUAAACACACUAUACAACGAUAACACAUUGAAUUUGCAU